rnacentral:lncRNA from 12 species
UGUUUAUUCUUUUUUAUUGCAGGAAACACCCUUGGGUGGUGGUUGCCAGAAGAAUCCCAUCCUCUCUGUUCUGAAGUGAGGCCAGGUCUGAACUGAAGACCCGGUUAUCUCUAAUCUGAGAGGUAGGAAGCCUACCUUGGCACUUGAGCAUAUUUGAUCCCAAACUGUAUUUGAGGGAACAGGUACUUGCUCAAAUAUAUUAUUUUUUUCCUUUUAGGUUGUUGCUCUGUGGCUAUACUCCAUGUGUCAGGCUCUGGAAAGGAGGAGGGAAAACCUGCUGCCAUGAACAAGUGAAGUAUCCAAGGGAGAGAAAGUACAUGAAGAGAGUAAGCCUGGACGGUCUACUCCUUGCUACUAAAGGUGUGGUCCACAGGCAGCAGCACCAGCAGUACCUGAGAGUGUGUUAGAAAUGCAGAACCCCAGGUCCCCACUCCAGAACUAGAGUCAGGAUCUGCUUUUAAUGAGGUCCCCAGGGGAUCCUGGGCACAUUCAAGAAAGCAAUGGAGGAUGUACAGCUAAGUUAGCUCAUGCUACAGAAGGUCUGUGGGGGAGUAGAGAUGAUGAAAAUCCCAAGAUCCCCUAAGAAGGACUAUAUGUUACAUGCUCUGACAAAGGUCAGUUCCCAGGUGAGUAGUUUUUGAAGGAUUCACACCAGCCAGAGAUCAGUGACUGUGUAGAAAGAUUUUUGCUGAGAUUUUAUUCUAACAACACAAUCUUGUUUUGUGUGAUCUGAAUAUAUUUAGUUAAGUCAGUAUUUAGCAUCAUUUACUUUUUGGCCCUAAAUCUCUCUUGUUUCUGGUACAAGGAGAGGGGAGCCUGAACUUCGCCCCUUAAAGGCCAAGCUGUUUGUCAGCUCUUUCUGCCCUACCUUGUGCUUCUGUAGAAAGUGCCAGUGUUUCCUCUUUCUAACAUGCAUAGCCGGAGCAAGUAUCAAUGUAAUAAUGUUGGUGAACAUUCUCUGAGAACUGUUGUUAAUUAUUUUUAAAACCAGGGAUCAUUUCCUUUUUUUCCAUCCUAAUGAUGGGAGAUGAGUUGACAUUCAUGGCCUUCCCUUCCUAAAGAG